rnacentral:rRNA from 1 species
ACGGGUGAGUAACGCGUAGGAAUCUGCCUUGAAGAGGGGGACAACCCGAGGAAACUCGGGCUAAUACCGCAUAAUUUCUGAGGAAAAAAGCUGGGUGGUAACACCUGGUACUUCAAGAGGAGCCUGCGUCCGAUUAACUAGUUGGUUAGGUAAAAGCUGACCAAGGCGAUGAUCGAUAACUGGUCUGAUAGGAUGACCAAUCACACUGGGACUGACACACGGCCCACACUCCUACCGGAGGCAGCAGUGGGGAAUAUUGUACAAUGGGGGCAACCCUGAUCCAUCAAUGCCUCGUGUGUGAAGAAGGCCUUCCGGUUGUAAAGCACUUUAUUUGGGGAGGAAGGUUGUUAUUUUAAUAAAUAAACAAUUUGACUGUACCCAAAGAAUAAACACCGGCUAACUCUGUGCCAGCAGCCGCGGUAAUACAUACGGUGCGAGCGUUAAUCGGAAUUACUGGGCGUAAAGGGCGCGUACGCGGUUAUAUAAGUUGGAUGUAAAAUCCCUGGGCUUAACCUAGGAACUGCAUCCGAAACUGUAUA